rnacentral:rRNA from 1 species
GACGAACGCUGGCGGAGUGAUUAACACAUGCAAGUCGAACGGAAAGGCCCUGCUUUUGUGGGGUGCUCGAGUGGCGAACGGGUGAGUAACACGUGAGUAACCUGCCCUUGACUUUGGGAUAACUUCAGGAAACUGGGGCUAAUACCGGAUAGGAGCUCCUGCUGCAUGGUGGGGGUUGGAAAGUUUCGGCGGUUGGGGAUGGACUCGCGGCUUAUCAGCUUGUUGGUGGGGUAGUGGCUUACCAAGGCUUUGACGGGUAGCCGGCCUGAGAGGGUGACCGGCCACAUUGGGACUGAGAUACGGCCCAGACUCCUACGGGAGGCAGCAGUGGGGAAUAUUGCACAAUGGGCGGAAGCCUGAUGCAGCAACGCCGCGUGCGGGAUGACGGCCUUCGGGUUGUAAACCGCUUUCGCCUGUGACGAAGCGUGAGUGACGGUAAUGGGUAAAGAAGCACCAGCUAACUACGUG